UGUAACGGAGGCGCCCAAAGGUUCCCUCAGCCUGGUUGGCAAUCAGGUGUCGAGUGCAAGUGCACAAGGGAGCUUGACUGUGAGACUGACAGGUCGAGCAGGGACGAAAGUCGGGACUAGUGAUCCGGCACCGGCAUGUGGAAGCGGUGUCGCUCAACGGAUAAAAGGUACCCCGGGGAUAACAGGCUGAUCUUCCCCAAGAGUCCAUAUCGACGGGAUGGUUUGGCACCUCGAUGUCGGCUCGUCGCAUCCUGGGGCUGGAGUAGGUCCCAAGGGUUGGGCUGUUCGCCCAUUAAAGCGGCACGCGAGCUGGGUUUAGAACGUCGUGAGACAGUUCGGUCUCUAUCCGCCGCGCGCGUUAGAAACUUGAGGAAGGCUGUCCCUAGUACGAGAGGACCGGGACGGACGAACCUCUGGUGUGCCAGUUGUCCCGCCAGGGGCAUGGCUGGUUGGCUACGUUCGGAAGGGAUAACCGCUGAAAGCAUCUAAGCGGGAAGCCUGUUCCAAGAUGAGG
rnacentral:rRNA from 1 species